rnacentral:rRNA from 1 species
AGUGAACGCUGGCGGCAGGCCUAACACAUGCAAGUCGAGCGGCAGCGGGUCCCCGCGAGGGGAUGCCGGCGAGCGGCGGACGGGUGAGGAACACAUCGGAAUCUGCCUGGUUGUGGGGGAUAACGUAGGGAAACUUACGCUAAUACCGCAUGAGACCCUGAGUCGACGGACUGGGGGUGAAAGUGAGGGACCUUCGGGCCUCACGCGACCAGAUGAGCCGAUGUCGGAUUAGCUAGUUGGUAGGGUAGCGGCCUACCAAGGCGACGAUCCGUAACUGGUCUGAGAGGACGACCAGUCACACCGGAACUGAGACACGGUCCGGACUCCUACGGGAGGCAGCAGGUGGGGAAUAUUGGACAAUGGGCGAAAGCCUGAUCC